UACGGAGGGGGCUAGCGUUGUUCGGAAUUACUGGGCGUAAAGCGCACGUAGGCGGCUUUGCAAGUUAGAGGUGAAAGCCCGGGGCUCAACUCCGGAAUUGCCUUUAAAACUGCAUCGCUGGAAUUGUGGAGAGGUAAGUGGAAUUCCGAGUGUAGAGGUGAAAUUCGUAGAUAUUCGGAAGAACACCAGUGGCGAAGGCGACUUACUGGACACAUAUUGACGCUGAGGUGCGAAAGCGUGGGGAGCAAACAGG
rnacentral:rRNA from 1 species